GGCUUGUUGGUGUAAUGGUAACACAUUCCGUGUACCUAUAGCUAUCGGUUGAUGGAAGGUUCGGAGUUCGAUUCUCCGUCAAGCCA